AAUAUUGAAGAAUGAAAAACAAUAUUGUUCCGUCAACUGAUCCACAACUGAUGUUGUGCUUGUCUCAGUAAACAAGAUAGUUUUCAAUCUUCUUUGCAAUAUUGUUUUUUGCGUUAUCAUCUGGGUGUAAAAGGUCAAACUGUUAAUUUAUGUUUAAAUCUCUGCAUUGUCAACUGUGUGUUUAUAUUUUGGAUAUAUUGAAUGGGAAAUGACUGAAUUUUGGAAUCAAUUGAUGCAUGCACCAAAAGUUGUUACUGUGAGAUAAGAUUAAUCAUUGUAGGAAUUGUAGAGGAAGGAUGAGAACAAGAAUCAUGAACAAAUGCGAGCCAUGUAACUCUCGUGUAGGGAUGGUGUGGUUUUAGGUAUACAAGUGCAUCAAUUUUUAAAAUAACUUAGCUUCAUUUUUGUCCCUUCCUGAGCUCUCCUCUCAACUCAGCUUUGAACAACCAACCCCUGCAAACUUCAUUAUAUUGCAGGGGUUUGCUGCGGGGAUAAGGUCAUGACCAAAUAUACCUCUAAUUAACAAUUCAAUGGUUAAUAGGGCUUGUUUGCAUCAUGUCAGUUGCUUUUCCAUGUUGCUUCAGUGAUCAAUUCUUGUGUUUUAACUUUGGUACCCAAAUAACCUAUUAUUUCUUAUUUUAUCAUAUUUAUGAAUUAUCAAUCUUGUGGUUUUUUAUUAUAUUUGAAACCUUGUUAGCCUGUGCAAUAGGAGUUUGGGAAUUGGCUUGUUUGUCAUUACACGUAGAGAAUCUUUCCCUAAAGGGAAUUCCAUACUGGAUGGCUCCAAAGGUAACCGUAAAUUUAUUUUAAAAUCAUAACUCUGAGUCUUAGGUGCAGUCUCAUGCCCUAUCUACUCAAAGUCCAUUUAUGAUAUGUCUAACUUGUGGAAAAAGCUUGAUGAAUUGGAACAUACUAGAUGAUCUUUUUUCUUUUCCAAUAUGAUUAUGAGUAUGAACCCGAAAACUUGCUUCAUAUUCUAAUUUUGCUUAAUGAAAAUUGUAAUGCAGGUUGACAUAACUACUGUAAAUAAUGUCCAUUUUGCUUUUGGAUGGGUACUAUGUUGUUUGCUAAACAUUGUUAGCUGUAGGAGUCUCUCUCUCAAAACUAACUAGCCUGGAAUUAAGGCCACAUGCUGUUGAGAGUUGUUAUCUGUCAAAAUAUCAGGUUUGGAAAUAUCUAGUGAAAUGUUGCCUAAAGAGUCAUUAAGUGAUCAAGCAUGGAAUACCAAGCAAUGAAGCAAAAUAUAUUUUCUUUCAUCAUGUAAAUUCAGCUAGCUAGGAAACUUUAUAGCAAUGACAUGUUACUUGGAUUCAAUAUUUGGUGGAUAUAUUGGAAUUUUAUUGAUGUAUCACAUUGCUUUUGGCGUAAAUAUUAAUCAUUGUUCAUUGGAUAA